UGGCGGACGGGUGAGUAAUGUCUGGGAAACUGCCUGAUGGAGGGGGGAUAACUACUGGAAACGGUAGCUAAUACCGCAUAACGUCGCAAGACCAAAGAGGGGGACCUUCGGGCCUCUUGCCAUCGGAUGUGCCCAGAUGGGAUUAGCUAGUAGGUGGGGUAACGGGCUCACCUAGGCGACGAUCCCUAGCUGGUCUGAGAGGAUGACCAGCCACACUGGAACUGAGACACGGUCCAGACUCCUACGGGAGGCAGCAUG
rnacentral:rRNA from 1 species